rnacentral:rRNA from 1 species
GACGAACGCUGGCGGCGUGCCUAAUACAUGCAAGUCGAGCGAUCAAGUUUGGUGCUUGCACCACUUUGAAGAGCAGCGAACGGGUGAGUAACGCGUGGGGAAUCUGCCUUUGAGCGGGGGACAACAUUUGGAAACGAAUGCUAAUACCGCAUAACAACUUUAAACAUAAGUUUUAAGUUUGAAAGAUGCAAUUGCAUCACUCAAUGAUGAUCCCGCGUUGUCUUAGCCUGUUGGUGAGGUAAAGGCUCACCAAGGCGAACAUACCUAGCCGGCCUGAAGAGGUGAUCGGCCAAAAUGGGACUGGGACAACGCCCAAAACCCCACGGGAGGCAGCAGUAAGGGAACUUCGCGCAUGGACGGAAGUCUGAACGAGGAACGGCGCGUGGGGGAAGGAGGUUUUCGGGUCGGAAAACUCUGUUGAUUGGGAAGAAAGUUAGUGGGAAGGGAAAACGCAUGAAGUGACGGUACCUAACCAGAAAGGGACGGCUAACUACGUG